AUAAAGAAUGAUUAGUGGCAGACGGGUGAGUAAUGCAUAGGAAUCUACCUAGUAGUAUGGGAUAGCCACUAGAAAUGGUGGGUAAUACUGUAUAAUCCCUGCGGGGGAAAGAUUUAUCGCUAUUAGAUGAGCCUAUGUUAGAUUAGCUAGUUGGUAGGGUAAAGGCCUACCAAGGCGAUGAUCUAUAGCUGGUCUGAGAGGAUGAUCAGCCACACUGGAACUGAGAUACGGUCCAGACUCCUACGGGAGGCAGCAGUGGGGAAUAUUGGACAAUGGGCGCAAGCCUGAUCCAGCUAUGCCGCGUGAGUGAGGAAGGCCUUAGGGUUGUAAAACUCUUUCAGUAGGGAAGAUAAUGACGGUACCUACAGAAGAAGUCCCGGCAAACUCCGUGCCAGCAGCCGCGGUAAUACGGAGGGGGCAAGCGUUGUUCGGAAUUAUUGGGCGUAAAGGGCAUGUAGGCGGUUCGGUAAGUUAAAGGUGAAAUGCCAGGGCUUAAC
rnacentral:rRNA from 1 species